rnacentral:rRNA from 1 species
ACGGAGGGUGCAAGCGUUAUUCGGAAUUACUGGGCGUAAAGCGCGUGUAGGCGGUCCUGCAAGUCUGAUGUGAAAGCCCCGAGCUUAACCCUAGAACUGCAAUUGAUACUGCAAGUCUGGAGUAUGGUUGAGGUAGCUGGAAUGUGUCAUGUAGCGGUGAAAUGCUUAGAGAUGGCGCAGAACACCAGCGGCGAAGGCAGGUUACCAGCCCGUUACUGACGCUGAGACACGAAAGCGUGGGGAUCAAACAG